rfam:Gossypium raimondii Chr03_contig_810, whole genome shotgun sequence.
UAUGACACUAUGAGAUUGUGCCACAUCAUCACUUGAAAAGUAGAAAAUUUAUAUAAAUUUCCAAGUGAUGAUGUGGUAUAAUCUCAGAGUGUCAC